GCUAAAACAGUCAGGAGGUUGGCUUAGAAGCAGCCACCCUUUAAAGAAAGCGUAAUAGCUCACUGAUCGAGUCGUCCUGCGCGGAAGAUGUAACGGGGCUAAGCUAUAUACCGAAGCUGCGGAUGCGUGCUUUGCACGCAUGGUAGGAGAGCGUUCCGUAAGCCUGCGAAGGUGCCUUGUAAAGGGUGCUGGAGGUAUCGGAAGUGCGAAUGCUGACAUGAGUAGCGAUAAAGGGGGUGAAAGGCCCCCUCGCCGUAAGCCCAAGGUUUCCUACGCAACGUUCAUCGGCGUAGGGUGAGUCGGCCCCUAAGGCGAGGCAGAAAUGCGUAGCUGAUGGGAAGCAGGUCAAUAUUCCUGCACCAUUGUUAGAUGCGAUGGGGGGACGGAUCGCGGAAGGUUGUCCGGGUGUUGGAAGUCCCGGUCGCUGCAUUGGAGAAGGCACUUAGGCAAAUCCGGGUGCGUAAUUCAAGGGUGUGGCGCGAGCUCCUUCGGGAGCGAAGCAAUUGGAAGUGGUUCCAAGAAAAGCCUCUAAGCUUCAGUCUAACGAUGACCGUACCGCAAACCGACACAGGUGGGCGAGAUGAGUAUU
rnacentral:rRNA from 1 species